UACAGAGGUCUCAAGCGUUGUUCGGAUUCAUUGGGCGUAAAGGGUGCGUAGGCGGCCGCCUAAGUCAGACGUGAAAUCCCUCGGCUCAACCGGGGAACUGCGUCUGAUACUGGAUGGCUUGAGUUUGGGAGAGGGAUGCGGAAUUCCAGGUGUAGCGGUGAAAUGCGUAGAUAUCUGGAGGAACACCGGUGGCGAAGGCGGCGAUCCUGGACCGGCAUUGACGGCCUGAGUGAGCGAAAGCUAGGGGAGCAAAACGGG
rnacentral:rRNA from 1 species